rnacentral:rRNA from 1 species
AUGAUUUUAAACUUGCCGGUGAGAAGAGGUUAUUUGAUAUUAGCUCACUGUGAAUGGAGAACCCAAGCCUACGAAAAUGCCAAGUUGUUUAAAGAAAAAGUUAAAAGAUGGCAUGACAAAAGGAUACAAAAGCGUGAGUUUAAUGUAGGUGAUUAUGUAUUGCUAUACAACUCUCGUUUAAGAUUUUUUGCAGGAAAGCUUCUCUCUAAAUGGGAAGGUCCUUAUGUUAUCGAGGAGGUCUACCGUUUCGGUGCCAUAAAUAUCAACAACUUCGAAGGCACAAAUCCGAAGGUGGUGAACGGCCAAAGAAACAAACAUUAUAUCUGA